ACGUGGCGUGUGCGACGAUUUCGCCGCAGGAUGGUUAUGCCGAUUUGUGGAUUAUACCGCUGGGUGACUUGAGUCAUUGUCAUGGCGUGUGCGACGAUUUCGCCGCCGGGUGGCUAAGUUAUGGAGCGCAGUAGGCUGUGGUUGGCUGAGGUGCAUGCGAGAGUUUCUUCACCUCGAGCCGGAUAGAGCGCGGAUUAUCCGCAGUUGAUUGACUCAAGAGCGAGUCGGGUGGCAUAGUGUGACUAAGGUAAGA
rnacentral:lncRNA from 1 species